GGGUUGUGAGGUUAAGCGACUAAGCGUACACGGUGGAUGCCCUGGCAGUCAGAGGCGAUGAAGGACGUGCUAAUCUGCGAUAAGCGUCGGUAAGGUGAUAUGAACCGUUAUAACCGGCGAUUUCCGAAUGGGGAAACCCAGUGUGAUUCGUCACACUAUCAUUAACUGAAUCCAUAGGUUAAUGAGGCGAACCGGGGGAACUGAAACAUCUAAGUACCCCGAGGAAAAGAAAUCAACCGAGAUUCCCCCAGUAGCGGCGAGCGAACGGGGAGCAGCCCAGAGCCUGAAUCAGUGUGUGUGUUAGUGGAAGCGUCUGGAAAGGCGCGCGAUACAGGGUGACAGCCCCGUACACAAAAAUGCACAUGCUGUGAGCUCGAUGAGUAGGGCGGGACACGUGGUAUCCUGUCUGAAUAUGGGGGGACCAUCCUCCAAGGCUAAAUACUCCUGACUGACCGAUAGUGAACCAGUACCGUGAGGGAAAGGCGAAAAGAACCCCGGCGAGGGGAGUGAAAAAGAACCUGAAACCGUGUACGUACAAGCAGUGGGAGCACAGAGCAAUCUGUGUGACUGCGUACCUUUUGUAUAAUGGGUCAGCGACUUAUAUUCUGUAGCAAGGUUAACCGAAUAGGGGAGCCGAAGGGAAACCGAGUCUUAACUGGGCGUUAAGUUGCAGGGUAUAGACCCGAAACCCGGUGAUCUAGCCAUGGGCAGGUUGAAGGUUGGGUAACACUAACUGGAGGACCGAACCGACUAAUGUUGAAAAAUUAGCGGAUGACUUGUGGCUGGGGGUGAAAGGCCAAUCAAACCGGGAGAUAGCUGGUUCUCCCCGAAAGCUAUUUAGGUAGCGCCUCGUGAAUUCAUCUCCGGGGGUAGAGCACUGUUUCGGCAAGGGGGUCAUCCCGACUUACCAACCCGAUGCAAACUGCGAAUACCGGAGAAUGUUAUCACGGGAGACACACGGCGGGUGCUAACGUCCGUCGUGAAGAGGGAAACAACCCAGACCGCCAGCUAAGGUCCCAAAGUCAUGGUUAAGUGGGAAACGAUGUGGGAAGGCCCAGACAGCCAGGAUGUUGGCUUAGAAGCAGCCAUCAUUUAAAGAAAGCGUAAUAGCUCACUGGUCGAGUCGGCCUGCGCGGAAGAUGUAACGGGGCUAAACCAUGCACCGAAGCUGCGGCAGCGACGCUUAUGCGUUGUUGGGUAGGGGAGCGUUCUGUAAGCCUGCGAAGGUGUGCUGUGAGGCAUGCUGGAGGUAUCAGAAGUGCGAAUGCUGACAUAAGUAACGAUAAAGCGGGUGA
rnacentral:rRNA from 1 species